GACGAACGCUGGCGGCGUGCUUAACACAUGCAAGUCGUACGGUAAGGCCCUUUCGGGGGUACACGAGUGGCGAACGGGUGAGUAACACGUGAGUAACCUGCCCACAACUUUGGGAUAACGCUAGGAAACUGGUGCUAAUACUGGAUAUGUGCUCCUGCUGCAUGGUGGGGGGUGGAAAGCUACGGCGGUUGUGGAUGGACGCGCGGCCUAUCAGCUUGCUGGUGGGGGAGUGGCCUACCAAGGCGGCGACGGGUAGCCGGCCUGAGAGGGUGACCGGCCACAUUGGGACUGAGAUACGGCCUAGACGCCUACGGGAGGCAGCAGUGGGGAAUAUUGCACAAUGGGCGCAAGCCUGAUGCAGCAACGCCGCGUGCAGGAUGACGGCCUUCGGGUUGUAAACCGCUUUCAGCAGGGACGAAGCUUUUUGUGACGGUACCUGCAGAAGAAGCACCGGCUAACUACGUG
rnacentral:rRNA from 1 species